GACCAGUCCUCAGAGGAGGCACCUCCCAACCCGCGGCCCAGGGGACGCUCCCUGUGGGGUGAUGCCAAGCUGAGUCUUGAAGGGCGAGGAGGAGCUGGCAGGCGAAGAAGGGGUCCGUGAUUCAAGCUUUGUGGAGAAACAUCAGAGUUGACCCUCAGAGACCAUCCUAGUGGAAGAACCGAGGAGUGGGUGUUCAUCUGUUGGGAUGUUGAAUCCUGUCUGACUAGCACCCAAGUCGUCUCUGCCAUUUCAUUUGCUGUGACGUGGGCUCGCUACUUAAUCUCCCCUCCUGUUUCUUCAUCUGUAAGAUGGAGAGGCUCCCCGAAAUCUGCAGGAUGGUCACAAAGAUUAGAUAGGAUGGUAAACGCAACAGGUUGAAGACCAUAGUAGGCUCCUCUGAGCUCAGAGAUAUUUCUUCUUCUGAUUAGUCAUCGAGGAGGGUAUUCGAUUUCUAGCCCAUCCCCUCUCCCCUUUCGGGGAACCCAGAGAGAGAAGAGAGUGACUUUUCAAGGCCAAACAGCCACUUGGCAGAAGAGAGAGGCUGCUGUCUCAGGUCGUCCUGCUCCGGGUCCUGAGGGCCCCCCACUCAACUUGUGGCCCCUUGAGUCCCCUUCUCAGUGGCAGUUUCCUUCUUCCGGAUCUCAAGGGUCUGAAGGGCUCCAGAGCAGCCCAUUGAGAAGUGGAAAAUCCCCAAGUGGCUUCCGCAAUCUGGUUCCUUUGUGGCAUUUCAGAGAAAGUGGAUGCAAGCCAACAACAUACGCAAGUGGCCCGACCAACGGGCUGAUAAGACGAGUGCAAAGUUUGGUUUUCGGAGGCCCUGCUGCAAAUGUGGCCGGUCAACAAAAUUGAAAAAUAGUUUUGACUGCUUGUUGUCUCUACACAUUAACAGCCACUUCAACACAUGCUCCCUCGUUAGCUAACAAGCCUCAGGGGUCACAUUUGGAUUCAGCCAGUAUAUAUAACCAGUGUUUCUUGAGCACCUACUCUGAGCAGAUGGUGCGCUCGGUACUUUCCCAUCCUUGUCCUCACGGAGGCCUCCCCACCUCCGCAUGGGUGGGCUGAUGGCCAUUUUGCAGGUGAGGAAGAAGAGUUUCAGAAUAGUCUCAGAGUUGAAAGAGUGGCAUGACCACUCGUUCCCCAUAGUGGAAAGCCAGCAGUGUCGGCUCCGUGUCAGGUGUCCUUUCCACCACAGUAAACCCCCCGUCACGAGAGAACUGAUUGGCUGUUCAAGCUGUGUUGAUUUUCCCCAGCUCGGCAAUCCCUUCCAUCAACACAGCUCCUCUGUGGUCAUUUCCUUGGUAGACGCCGUACCCAUUUAGUUGACUUGUGGUCAGUCUGGUUGUGCCUGUGUGGGUGUAGAAAUCCUUCCAGCUUCUGGGAGACCUGAUGGAAGUCGAGAGUGACAACGUGAGUCUGGGGCCAAAACUUCCCAUGACCCCCGUCUGAACUUUCAGGGAUGUGCCAGUUGGCUUCUCUUGAAGGGGAAGAGAGGAAGAAAGAGUCAAGAUGAACCAGGAUGUAUGAUGAUGAGUCUUUAGCAGAUGCCAAGUCCUGUGGGGGCAUGAAUGUUCAGCAGAUUGAGUGGGACCAAGCUGGGUUAGGAUCCCACAUCUGGCACCUUCUAAGUGAGUGAGCUCUGAUGUCAGUGUUGGCUUAGUGUCUCCAAGUUUCCAUUUCUUCGUCUAAGAAUGGAGCUGCUAACAGAAGCUUUUAGGGACUGUGGUGAGAGUUAAAAAUAACAGCUCUAUUGGAAAUUAUAUUCACACUGAGCUCUCGACCCUUAGACACUAGGCUCAGGGCUGCAUGGUUAAAAGUGUGGCUUCCUGAGCCAGGUGCCUGGGGUCAAGUCCAGGCAGUGACCUUGAAGCAGUUCACUGAAUUUAAGUCUCAGGGUCCUAAUCUGAAGAUACAGCAGCAACAGCACCCACUUCAUAGGUCAUUAGGAGAACUAUAUCUACACAAAACUCAGCUCUUAGCCUCAGAGUGGAAGCUGAGAAAGUUGGUUGAAGGAGGUACAAUAUGGAGUGGCCCAGAAUUUUAAGACAAAGACCAAGUCCUGGUCACCAAAACAUCAAAGUCAGGCAGAUCUGGGUCCAUUUCUGUGCACCGUGUUCCUGUGAGAGCAAGAAGGAUCAGUACAGGAGAAAGUGCUUCAUAAAUUGCCAAUUGUCUUCAAAUACAAAGAGAUGGGCAGACAUCCCAAGCCUGCCCAGGCAGCGUCUUCUACCCCUCUGAAGCAGGGACUGGCCCAGGGAGGCACAAGACUCAGGCCACACCAGCGAGAGUCAGCCCAAGAACAACUGGGAAAGGGGUUCUUUUCUUCCCUGGAGUUGCUGAACUGGUAAAGUGUGGGCCGCCAGCUGCAGGAGGCCAUUUUACCAAUACUUAGAGAAAUGCACCCAAGGAGGAAGCUUGGUGAGAGCAAAGCAAAGCCAAGAGAUGGAAAGAAACUUGCCUCAGGGCCUUUGAACAGACUCUUCUGUCUGCUCACUCACCUGUACCUGAAUCUCCACCUCUGAUGCAUGUUUACUUGGGCCAAUGAAAUCCUCUUUUGUUUAAGCCAAGGUUACGUAUAUCCCCUUGACAGCAUUCAGCACUGCGUCUUCACGUAUCACCGGCCUAUCUGGGCUCCCAGCACCUCAGGCGUUCCUUGAGCCCAGGAUCACCUAUGAGUCAUCUUUAGACAUUCCGCACCGAAAACAAAGUCAGACGCAGAAAUAAAUAUUCGUGGAGUCAGGAGCUGAAUGAAUGAAAUCAGCUCAUCCCGUUCUCCUGGCUUUCCUACCUCCCUCGGCAAACCACCGCCUCCCCGCCAUGUGAAAGGAGCAGAUACAAGAGGACAAGAUUCUCAGGUUGAGAAGGUCGUCAUUUGCCAGCUGCGUGAUUUGGGACGUGGAGGAGUCGCGUGGCCAUCUCGUGUAGGGAAGGACCCAUUGGUCGGCUCUUUUUGGUGCCCAUGCUCAACAGCCUUUCGGAGACAAUGGGGGGAAGGAGCACAAGGACCUUCUGCGAGGCCAGCCUUCAAGACUCUGGCUUCUUUCUGUCUCUAGGACAUUGAGGACAGUCAGUGGGACAAUGACGGAGCCCCUCUGUCUGGAAGCCACUUUCAUUUUCCCCACAGAGCCCCGAGGCCCUGAUUCUCAGGUUUAAUGAUUUUUUCCCUCUGAUGAGUAAAGUUGGAAAUAAUGAAUUGUGAUUGUUGCCCAUUGUUCUCACUAUGAAUACUUUUUCUCUAGAAGGAAAAAAAAUCACAUUUUUUCAACAAAGGAAACAUACAGAGCUGAUGAAGGUUCCGGGAGGUUUUCAGUGAAAUCUUGUGCCAACCUACUGUUUAUGUCUCCGAGGGAGGAAGCGGGAGCUAGCCGUGCUCCCUCCCCUCCGUGAAGCGGACUGGGUGGGACGGGGCUUCUCUGGGUCCCUGCCCCUCAAGCCACUUGGAAACAGAUGCCCAAAAGUCGGCAAGAUCCUCAGGGACUUUCUUUCCUUACAGCAGAGGCCCUCGUGGGUGUAGGUUCCUGGGGCUUUAGAAACCAAAGAACUCCCCUAAACAGAGGCCUGGAAUCUGUGGGUGAC